UUUACUUAAAAGUGCAAACUUAAUUAAGAGGUUCAAGUAAGGAAUAAUACUUACCUCUGGAGAUAGUCCUUGGGUUCCAUAUUUGUCAUCCCAAAGCAUAGUUCCAAUGCGAUAUAUUUGUGGGAGGCUCAAUAUCUGAUAAACCAAGUAAAGAGAAGUUAGAUAUUGACAGAACAGAAGUUCAACCAUCAUCAUUUUCUUUUUGCUCUUCUCAGUUGUGAAAUAUAAUCUGAAAGGCACCAUUGUUCCAGUUCCUGCAAACCUAAUUUAACAUAUUCCCCAUUGCUGAAUGAGCAGCAUUCGCGUCGAAGCAGGACCUGAAAAUCACCCAAAGUUGGUUAUAUAACUGUGGAAUCGCAAUUAUGCUGGUCUAAACUUAACAAGACCAGAUUAAAACCUAUGUUCAGGCUUACAUGGUUUACAGAUAAUAUAUUCAGGGUAUCAUCUAGUUUCUUGACUAUGUUUUGCCAGUGAAUGUUUGAUGCUUGUUGUUUCGCGACUAUAGUUGAAUGAAUAUUUCUAGAUGACACUCUAAUUGGUCUCGUCCUUGCAGAUCUUGGUGCCUGUUAAUGGCAAUAUAAAAAUUACUUUAAGCGUCACAUUGGUUGUUUUGACAUGAUUUAAAGUUCAUGCUUGUUGAAGCUACUCACCUGAAUGCACAGAUUUAGGAAUGGGCUAAUCUCUUUCUUCAGAGCAUCACGGAUCAUCCCAUAGACUUUCUCAACACAUGCUGUUAAAUGUUGCUUAAAAAGUAAAGCUGGAAACUUAGCAUCCACUUUUGAUUGCCCAUUUGUUUGUCUCACCAUGCCACUAUAUCCAUUCAAAAUUCCAGAGCCCAUUGAGGAUGAAUGCGAUCCCUGGUAUAAUUUAUUCAAGAUAUAUAACUUUCCCAUGAAUUCAAAUAUACAAAUGAACCGGUUGUUCAAGCUUACUUGUGACAUCCUUCCAAAUAUAGUGGGAGAGGCCCAGUUACGACGUGAUGCUACAUUAUGCUUGUUGUUUGCUCUGAGUGUACUUUGUACAAGAACCAUAAGGGUUGAAGUUGUUGACAGCCAGUACGCUAGAUCACAGGGCAUCACUUCUAUAGACAAUCGGAUUGUAUGGAUGAUCCUAUCAAAUAUAUUUGUCCUGUCAGCCUCAAAGGAUCUCCACUGAAGAAGUGAUUUGUACACGAUACAUGCAGCAACAGGUCUGUUCUUGUCAAAUGUCUUUUCUUCGGUGAGACAUUUGAUAAGUGCAUCAUGGUUUUCCUGUUUAUAAGAUAAAACAUGUAGAAUUUACUUCUUAAUGCUUAAUAUAAAUGAGAAGUAAUAUCUAUGACUUUGAAUUGCUUUCUCUCUGCCAAGAGUUUCAGCUUUCAAUAUCAUACCUGCUGCUUCUCGCUUAGAGAUUUUUGCUUGGUAAGGAUAGGGACAAGAGAACUAGACUCCUGAAAAUAAGAAUUAGCCUAUUAGCUGAAAAAUAUCAUGUGACUAAAAACUUUUAUUAUUGGUCUAUUCUUGAAGUUAACAUAGUUGAGAAAUUGGUACUUUUGUUGUUUGAAGAUCUUCUGUCUGUUGUCCAUUACCAAAGUUCUGCAUCACCACAGAAAGUCAGUACAGCGCUUGAAGUUGUUAUACUGAAAAAUGAGAAGGCAAAAUAGACUCUAGAGCAUUGUACCUUGGCAUGUGGCUGUACUCUUUCAGGUGUUGCUAUCUGCUCGGAAAUAGCUGCCUUAUUACGGAGUAAUUCAUUCCCUGAUUCCAAAUCACCAAUCUUACUCCUGAGACUGGUAAAAAAAAUACAUGUUCAUGUAUGCCAUAGUGUAAACAGUUAGUUGAUAGUUUUGAGAUUUACAAGCAACCUGAAAUGUCUCAUCUAAAUGGUUGAACUGUGGAUAGCAAUCACUUCAGCUUUUAUUUUUUCAGCAUUCGUGAAAUUAUUUCCUUGUUCAACAUUCACUGAAGCUAAUAAAUAUUGCUUGUUUGUAAA